CGCUAGCUGCAGGCUUAACACAUGCAAGUCGAGGGGCAGCAUGGUCUUAGCUUGCUAAGGCCGAUGGCGACCGGCGCACGGGUGAGUAACACGUAUCCAACCUGCCGUCUACUCUUGGACAGCCUUCCGAAAGGAAGAUUAAUACAAGAUGGCAUCAUGAGUCCGCAUGUUCACAUGAUUAAAGGUAUUCCGGUAGACGAUGGGGAUGCGUUCCAUUAGAUAGUAGGCGGGGUAACGGCCCACCUAGUCUUCGAUGGAUAGGGGUUCUGAGAGGAAGGUCCCCCACAUUGGAACUGAGACACGGUCCAAACUCCUACGGGAGGCAGCAGUGAGGAAUAUUGGUCAAUGGGCGAGAGCCUGAACCAGCCAAGUAGCGUGAAGGAUGACUGCCCUAUGGGUUGUAAACUUCUUUUAUAAAGGAAUAAAGUCGGGUAUGGAUACCCGUUUGCAUGUACUUUAUGAAUAAGGAUCGGCUAACUCCGUGCCAGCAGCCGCGGUAAUACGGAGGAUCCGAGCGUUAUCCGGAUUUAUUGGGUUUAAAGGGAGCGUAGAUGGAUGUUUAAGUCAGUUGUGAAAGUUUGCGGCUCAACCGUAAAAUUGCAGUUGAUACUGGAUAUCUUGAGUGCAGUUGAGGCAGGCGGAAUUCGUGGUGUAGCGGUGAAAUGCUUAGAUAUCACGAAGAACUCCGAUUGCGAAGGCAGCCUGCUAAGCUGCAACUGACAUUGAGGCUCGAAAGUGUGGGUAUCAAACAGGAUUAGAUACCCUGGUAGUCCACACGGUAAACGAUGAAUACUCGCUGUUUGCGAUAUACAGCAAGCGGCCAAGCGAAAGCGUUAAGUAUUCCCCCUGGGGAGUACGCCGGCAACGGUGAAACUCAAA
rnacentral:rRNA from 1 species